GAUGAACGCUGGCGGCGUGCCUAAUACAUGCAAGUCGAGCGAACAGACGAGGAGCUUGCUCCUCUGACGUUAGCGGCGGACGGGUGAGUAACACGUGGAUAACCUACCUAUAAGACUGGGAUAACUUCGGGAAACCGGAGCUAAUACCGGAUAAUAUAUUGAACCGCAUGGUUCAAUAGUGAAAGACGGUUUUGCUGUCACUUAUAGAUGGAUCCGCGCCGCAUUAGCUAGUUGGUAAGGUAACGGCUUACCAAGGCAACGAUGCGUAGCCGACCUGAGAGGGUGAUCGGCCACACUGGAACUGAGACACGGUCCAGACUCCUACGGGAGGCAGCAGUAGGGAAUCUUCCGCAAUGGGCGAAAGCUUGACGGAGCAACACCGCGUGAGUGAUGAAGGUCUUCGGAUCGUAAAACUCUGUUAUUAGGGAAGAACAAAUGUGUAAGUAACUAUGCACGUCUUGACGGUACCUAAUCAGAAAGCCACGGCUAACUACGUG
rnacentral:rRNA from 1 species